ACUCCCGGCAUUUGACGCGGCUGGGUCCCAACUCGUCCCUGGGUUAACACACCUUUGAAAUGCCAGAGUAAUCCUCUCUUCCGACUCCUCAGAGGUGUGACUACCGUCAAGGGAGCACAUGAUCCUUUUCUCUGUAUACCAUCUCUACUUACUGGAAACAUUAAAUGUUAACUAUCCUGUACCCACCAAUGUGUGUACAAAUAUUCUAACAUUAAUUCCUAGAAAUGGAACUACUUGCUGAAAAAAGUUACUCCAGUGUGUACUCCCACCUGGAGUGAAUGAGAAUGUGCAUUUCCUCAGAACUUGUAAACCAGCUCAUUUUAUAAGCAAAAUGUGACAUAAUUGCUGUUUUCCAACACUGAGAACCCAUUGUGCCAGGAGCUUUACAUACACAGUUGGAAUUGAUUUGAUUUAAUUUUUCAUCCUUGCAACAACCAUGAGACUUGAGUGCGUAGAAGUUUCUUUGUCAAAGAAACACGGAAAGCUCCAAGGACAAGAAGAAGAUGACAUCUGAGUAAUCAGCUAGUUAUUCCGAGAUUCUGGUCUCUGAUCUUUUGUUUAUUAUUAUGACCUGCUAAAAGUUUGGACUUUAAAACUCUUUAUAAAGACCUAAUGUUAUGUACCUUAAACUCUUUCUCUUUGUAUUUUGAUGGUAAUAUCUGUAGUUAUUGUUGUAGUCCUUUGUUGGAAUAUAUAUCUUUUUAUGAAUGAGCUAUCCUAAGACAGAAUAGGAAUAGAGGAUGAAACUGAUUUAUUGUUAUACUGUUCUCCUUGCUGUAUCUAUAUGGAAACUGUAUAUUCUUUCCUAGAUCCUGUCAACACAAGAGCAUCCAAACCAACAGAACAUUUUAUUAGUUUGUCAGACUUUAUUGGGGCAACAAAGAGGACAUGCCUUGAAGCAAGAUCAAGGGACUGAGAAAAUGCUCCCUUGAGGGUGGUUACACCUCCAAGGGGGUCUAGAAAAGAGGAUUAUUCUGGCAUGACAAAGGUGUGUUAACCUAGAUGCACAAGAACAAUGGACAGGGCUUGCUUAAGGCAAAGAUAAGUCUUUUACUAAGGAACUUAUAGACCUUUGCUACCUGACUAGCUACCAUGACCUGACCAGUUAGGAAUUUAUGAUCAGAUUUCUCUGUGAGGGUUACUUUAGGUCACUGAGCUUGUCAGAUUUAAUACAUAUCCUCCCUUUCAGUCACAGUUCUCCAUUUUGGUCAUAAAUCAAUCCAAAGGAUGCAUCGAUAACCAACCUUUUGGUCAGAUAGUGCCUCACAGCAUUAGGAAGUCCCAGUAUUGACAUUGUCUUGUUGAAAUGGUGGACCAUUGGGAUAGGGAAAUAGUGUAACCAUGGGAUAUGAGUUGAGGUUGAAUUUGUUUCAAAAGGAAAGGAUAGGUAAAUGCAAGGCAGUCAGGUCCUAUGGGCCUUUAUUAUGAAAAAACACCCUGGAUCUUUUCUAUCCUGUCAACAACUGCCCGUUUUUUUUUCUGCUGGUUCUGGGUUAUCUCAACCCUUAUCCUUUAGUGCCACCUUGAGGAUUUUCUAAGAAUAGCUCAAAUAAAGUCAAGACCGCCUACCUUAAGUGAGGGAGGUGAGAUUCCAAGAGAAAACUCACCCAAUAGGAAGUGGGGAGCUGGUGGGGCACCAAUGUGUCUCUGCCGGUACCUAAUACUGGUCUGCAGGGUGGUCUUGGCUGUACUUCUUUGGAAUCCUGCCGACUACACCAAGUAAAUGUUGAUGAAAGAACAUCCAACCUAUAGAAAAGUUUUAUAAGUAUCUGAGCCAAAGUUUUGAGAAUAUGCUCAGAAGCAAAAUCUGAAUGGAUUGAGAAAAUGCUCUGGAGAAUGGCAGUUUUAAAGCUUAUUUUAUACAUUUAUAAUCAGAGGAUACAAUGUAAGAAAAGUCACAUGAAAUCUAUUGAGAGUAGAUUAGGGAGGUGGGAGAAAGCAGAGCAGGAAAAUGUCUAGGAUUGGAUAAAAAGUAAAAUGGAGAGAUGCAUACUUCUUUUACAUUGGUGGCUAUGGGAUAGUUAACAUUUAACAUUUAUAGUAUGUAGAAAUGGACAACAAAGUAACAACGAGGAGUUUUGUGGUCUCCUGCUCUGGUGGUUUGUGCCAGCGGUUGUGCCAUCAAAGGGUCUGGGGAAAAAAUUACUCUGACAUUUCAAAGGUAUAUUUUCCCAGAUGCAAUAAAAACAGCAGACAGGACUCAUUUAAGGUAAUGAUUGACCUUUGCUAAGGAAGCUAGAGGCCUGGGAUGUGACUACCUGCCAUGACCUGCCCAGUUAGGAAUUUAUGAUCAGACUAUCCUGUGUACUCACUUUCAAUCACAAAGUUUGUAAAGCCAUCUAUGUGCCCCUAACCCCCAGCUGGUCAGGUUUUGUAUAUAGCUCCUUUUUUGUUUACAUAUUCUUUUUGA